UUUCGCAAUGCCCGAAAGGGUGACGAAGCGACGCCGCGUGGGUGAGGAAGGCCUUCGGGUUGUAAAACCCUGUCAGGAGUUAAGAAAUGUAAGUGCGCUAAUAUCGCAUUUAUUUGACGAAGGCUCCAAAGGAAGCCACGGCUAACUCUGUGCCAGCAGCCGCGGUAAUACAGAGGUGGCAAGCGUUGUUCGGAAUUAUUGGGCGUAAAGAGCACGUAGGUGGGUUUGUAAGUCAGAUGUGAAAGCCUUCUGUUCAACGGGAGAAUUGCAUCUGAAACUGCGAAUCUUGAGUGUAGGAGGGGAGAAUGGAACUUCUGGUGGAGCGGUGAAAUGCGUAGAUAUCAGAAGGAACGCCGGCGGCGAAAGCGAUUCUCUGGCCUAUUACUGACACUCAGUGUGCGAAAGCUAGGGGAGCAAACGGGAUUAGAUACCCCGGUAGUCCUAGCUGUAAACGAUGGGCACUAAGUAGAGGGGUUUUA
rnacentral:rRNA from 1 species